rnacentral:rRNA from 1 species
GACGAACGCUGGCGGCGUGCUUAACACAUGCAAGUCGAACGGAAAGGCCCCCACCUUGGUGGGGGUGCUCGAGUGGCGAACGGGUGAGUAACACGUGGGUGAUCUGCCCUGUACUUCGGGAUAAGCUUGGGAAACUGGGUCUAAUACCGGAUAGGACCAUGGUUUAGUGUCUCAUGGUGGAAAAAUUAUUGUUUUGGUGCAGGAUGAGCUCGCGGCCUAUCAGCUUGUUGGUGGGGUAAUGGCCUACCAAGGCGUCGACGGGUAGCCGGCCUGAGAGGGUGGACGGCCACAUUGGGACUGAGAUACGGCCCAGACUCCUACGGGAGGCAGCAGUGGGGAAUAUUGCACAAUGGGCGAAAGCCUGAUGCAGCGACGCCGCGUGGGGGAUGACGGCCUUCGGGUUGUAAACUCCUUUCGUUAGGGACGAAGCCACACCUUUUUUGGGUGUGGUGACGGUACCUUUGUUAAGAAGCACCGGCUAACUACGUG